rnacentral:rRNA from 1 species
CUGCCCUGCACUUCGGGAUAAGCCUGGGAAACUGGGUCUAAUACCGGAUAGGACCUUUAGGCGCAUGUCUUUAGGUGGAAAGCUUUUGCGGUGUGGGAUGGGCCCGCGGCCUAUCAGCUUGUUGGUGGGGUGAUGGCCUACCAAGGCGACGACGGGUAGCCGGCCUGAGAGGGUGUCCGGCCACACUGGGACUGAGAUACGGCCCAGACUCCUACGGGAGGCAGCAGUGGGGAAUAUUGCACAAUGGGCGCAAGCCUGAUGCAGCGACGCCGCGUGGGGGAUGACGGCCUUCGGGUUGUAAACCUCUUUCACCAUCGACGAAGGUCCGGGUUUUCUCGGAUUGACGGUAGGUGGAGAAGAAGCACCGGCCAACUACGUGCCAGCAGCCGCGGUAAUACGUAGGGUGCGAGCGUUGUCCGGAAUUACUGGGCGUAAAGAGCUCGUAGGUGGGUUUGUCGCGUUGUUCGUGAAAUCUCACGGCUUAACUGUGAGCGUGCGGGCGAUACGGGCAGACUAGAGUACUGCAGGGGAGACUGGAAUUCCUGGUGUAGCGGUGGAAUGCGCAGAUAUCAGGAGGAACACCGGUGGCGAAGGCGGGUCUCUGGGCAGUAACUGACGCUGAGGAGCGAAAGCGUGGGGAGCGAACAGGAUUAGAUACCCUGGUAGUCCACGCCGUAAACGGUGGGUACUAGGUGUGGGUUUCCUUCCUUGGGAUCCGUGCCGUAGCUAACGCAUUAAGUACCCCGCCUGGGGAGUACGGCCGCAAGGCUAAAACUCAAAGGAAUUGACGGGGGCCCGCACAAGCGGCGGAGCAUGUGGAUUAAUUCGAUGCAACGCGAAGAACCUUACCUGGGUUUGACAUGCACAGGACGCGUCUAGAGAUAGGCGUUCCCUUGUGGCCUGUGUGCAGGUGGUGCAUGGCUGUCGUCAGCUCGUGUCGUGAGAUGUUGGGUUAAGUCCCGCAACGAGCGCAACCCUUGUCUCAUGUUGCCAGCGGGUAAUGCCGGGGACUCGUGAGAGACUGCCGGGGUCAACUCGGAGGAAGGUGGGGAUGACGUCAAGUCAUCAUGCCCCUUAUGUCCAGGGCUUCACACAUGCUACAAUGGCCGGUACAAAGGGCUGCGAUGCCGCAAGGUUAAGCGAAUCCUUUUAAAGCCGGUCUCAGUUCGGAUUGGGGUCUGCAACUCGACCCCAUGAAGUCGGAGUCGCUAGUAAUCGCAGAUCAGCAACGCUGCGGUGAAUACGUUCCCGGGCCUUGUACACACCGCCCGUCACGUCAUGAAAGUCGGUAACACCCGAAGCCAGUGGCCUAACC